rnacentral:lncRNA from 1 species
UUAAGUUUUGGUUUAGGAUUAGUUUUGGGUUUAAUUUAGUGUUAUGUUUAGGUUAGGUUACGUUUAGGGUUAGGGUUAGGGUUAGGGUUAGGGUUAGGGUUAGGGUUAGGGUUAGGGUUAGGGUUAGGGUUAGGGUUAGGGUUAGGGUUAGGGUUAGGGUUAGGGUUAGGGUUAGGGUUAGGGUUAGGGUUAGGGUUAGGGUUAGGGUUAGGGUUAGGGUUAGGGUUCGUGUUACAUAUAGGUUUAAAUUUUGGUUAGGUUUAGGGUUAUGGUUAAGCUUAGGGUUAGUCUUAGG